UUAUGAUGGGGGCGAAAUAGGAUCGACGAGGGCGUAAAGAUCGUACUUUUUCUCGGCAUUGUACCACCGUUAUCGGACUAACUUUGUAGUUGCAAAUGAUAACAACUAUGCGGAAGCACGUCUCGCUGCUUAAUGCAGUGCGAUAGCUUCACAUGAACUCCUAGUUGUUCGCACGACUAGGCGGGGUUCGAAGGCACCUGGCAACAGAAGCCUUCA
rnacentral:sRNA from 14 species